GCCGAGGUGGCACAGUCUGGUACUGCGCAGGAUUGCUAAUCCUGUUUCCUUUGGAUUCCCGGGUUCAAAUCCCGGCCUCGGCG
rnacentral:tRNA from 1 species